rnacentral:lncRNA from 10 species
AAGCAUGAACACAACCCACUGUUUGAGAAGCUGUAAUUUCUGAAUUUCUGCAGAGUGCACAUCUAGGCCAGCAAAUGGCAGUAAGAGUGAGGUGGAUUUAGCUCAGUGUAAGGAUGAACUCCAGAACCAUCGGCUCUGACUGAAAGUGAAGCGGCAGCCGCGUUGUGGGAAAGCUGGCUGGAGUCUCUCUCAUAAGCAGGCAUUCUUUUUCUCCAGCCCGUCACUGUGUUGGUUUGGGCCCACGGUAAGCCUCCUGGCCUCUAGGCUGUAACCCCCACCAUCCUCCUCUGCCUCGCCUCCAGAGUGAUUGUUCUGAAGCACAACUGGAUGUCAUUCCCCUUCCUGAACUCCUAGCACCUACAGGGACUCCAUCCCUUGUGCCCCACAUGUUUGUGGCACAUUCUAGGCACUCGCCAUCAUGAAAUAAACCUCUGGAGCUGUGAUAUUACAAACGUGAAAAGAUGACGAGCACUCAGCAACUUUCAGAUGAAGCGAAGAGACAAGGAGCAAUCCAAUGUGUAAUAAAAAAAGGCAGCCUGAAUUGUUGUUGCUGUUUUUGAAAUUUAAGCUGGUUUUCAAUUAAAUUCAGUAAAUGGUCCAGGACU